CAGUAGCCGCGGGAAUACGUAGGUGGCAAGCGUUGUCCGGAUUUAUUGGGCGUAAAGCGAGCGCAGGCGGUCAAUUAAGUCUGAUGUGAAAGCCCCCGGCUCAACCGGGGAGGGUCAUUGGAAACUGGUUGACUUGAGUGCAGAAGAGGAGAGUGGAAUUCCAUGUGUAGCGGUGAAAUGCGUAGAUAUAUGGAGGAACACCAGUGGCGAAGGCGACUCUCUGGUCUGUAACUGACGCUCAUGCACGAAAGCGUGGGGAGCAAACAGGAUUAGAUACCCGCGUAGUCCCUGUCUCUUAUAC
rnacentral:rRNA from 1 species